rnacentral:rRNA from 1 species
UCCUAUGGCCAUACCACCCUGAACGUGCCCAAUGUCAUCUUAUCUUAGAAGCUAAGCAGGGUCGGGCCUGGUUAGUACUUGGAUGGGAGAAAACCACUCUACCAAAAAGA